CAGCCGCCGCGGUAAUACGGAGGGAGCUAGCGUUGUUCGGAAUUACUGGGCGUAAAGCGCACGUAGGCGGCUUGGUAAGUUAGAGGUGAAAGCCCGGAGCUCAACUCCGGAAUUGCCUUUAAGACUGCCGAGCUAGCAGGUGAGAGAGGUAAGUGGAAUUCCGAGUGUAGAGGUGAAAUUCGUAGAUAUUCGGAAGAACACCAGUGGCGAAGGCGGCUUACUGGCUCAUACUGGACGCUGAGGUGCGAAAGCGUGGGGAGCAAACAGGAUUAGAUACCCGUGUAGUCCCUGUCUCUUAUAC
rnacentral:rRNA from 1 species